rnacentral:rRNA from 1 species
UACAGAGGGUGCAAGCAUUGUUCGGAAUUAUUGGGCGUAAAGGGCGUGUAGGUGGUUCGGUAAGUCAGAUGUGAAAUCCCUGGGCUUAACUCAGGAACUGCAUUUGAUACUGCCAGACUAGAGUGUGGUAUAGGGUCGUGGAAUUCCCGGUGUAGAGGUGAAAUUCGUAGAGAUCGGGAGGAACACCAGUGGCGAAAGCGGCGACCUGGGCCAUUACUGACGCUAAGACGCGAAAGCGUGGGGAGCAAACAGG